CAGGCUCGGAUCUCUUGAUUUAAAGCAAAGUGGGAGAGGAGGAGGGUCUCCUGGGCAGUAUUUGUCUCCUGCACCCAAAGGCCAACAGAGCUGGAGACCAGAUGCAGGACUUAAUUGUCCAGAACCCAUUGAUUGAAAGAGGGACUGAGUCUCCAUGAGGAAGGAAGGACCCCGAAACACCACGGCAAGAAGAACAGAAGCAGUUUGCGCCCACAUGAGAUGGAUAACAGUAUUCAGUCACAGUCUUGCUCCAAAUGAUGUGAAUUCUCCUGCCCUCUGUCACAGUACAGUCCCAAGACACCUAAACCAUCUGGUCUACAUAGACCACAGAACAUUAUAUUGACUCACCAUAUUGAUGACACCAUGCUAGUUGGACCCACCGAGCAAAAGCGGCAAGUACCAUGGAUGUCCUGGCGAGGUACACCAGGAAAAGACUCAGGGGCCUGCCACAUCAGUGACAUGUGAGGGGCCCAGUGGUCUGGACAUG